UUAACUGACUCAACAUGUGCAG
rnacentral:siRNA from 1 species